ensembl:lncRNA DLEU1 deleted in lymphocytic leukemia 1
GAGUGGGGUUUAAUCUGGACUGAAUUGGAGGAAAGGAACUGGCACCAGAGUGGAGGCUGGAAGGAUGGUGGAACUGACACUGGGACAGAACACAGAAAACAGAAUCUAAUGCUAUUGCUCUGGCUAUAUCAAAUAAAAGUGUCAAGAGUGAGCAUCCUUGCCUUGUGCUGAAUCACAAAGGAAUACCUUUCAGUUUUUCUCCAUUGAUUAUGAUAGCAGUGGGCUUUUCACAGUGGGCUUUACUGUGUUGAGGCUGGAGUGCAAUGGCGUGAUCUCGGCUCACUGCAACCUCUGCCUUCCGGUUUCAAGCAAUUCUCCUGCCUCAGCCUCCUGAGUAGCUGGGAUUACAGGCACCCACCACCACGCCUGGCUAAUUUUUGUAUUUUUAGUAGAGACAGGGUUUCACCGUGUUGUUCAGGCUGGUCUCGAGCUCCUGACCUCGUGAUCCGACCACCUCAGCCUCCUAAAAUGCUGGGAUUACAGGCGUGAGCCACCGCGCCGGCCAAGGCAAUGAUUUUUAAUGGUUUUUGGGAAGCAGAUUUUAUAAUAUAUUAAAGGAAGGUGUGUGUGUGUGUGUGUGUGGGUACGUAAUACAUACAAAUAUAUCCAUUCAUCUUUUAAUAAACUAGGUUCAGCAUC